rnacentral:tRNA from 1 species
AAAAAUUUAAGUUAUACAAACUAUAAGCCUUCCAAGUUUAAAAAAAUUAAAUUAAACUCA